ensembl:ncRNA lncRNA:CR44164 long non-coding RNA:CR44164
AAGAUAAGACAAAGCAAGCCAAACCAAAUAACAAUAUACAAUACAUUAACUGGGCGUAAUCAAUAGAUAACCUCCUGCAGGUAUUAUCUUGCAAGUUCUGUUCGGAAACAACCGCAAUCCGACCACUGUAACUUUGGAUGCCAUGGCUUGGCUGACUCACCCGGCGCACGCGUCGCGCCUUGAAGCACCGCUCGGUGGUGGGGGCAGAGUCCGCGGCUAGAGAUUCGGAGACCGCGGGACAGAGAUCGCCCCAACACCGUGACUUGACGUAUUUCGCUGCUCCUCUUUCUGGGCCUGAGCUUCGCCGGAACUUUCAUUCACAGUGCCAGACACCGCGGAUGACGUCGUGCUUCUAAAUAUAAGUUCGUAUUCAGUUUACGCGGUCACACAUCGAAAUGCUCGAUGGCCAUUGCCAUCAUCCAUCGAAUCCAUCCGCCUUCUGAUGCUGCUUCUGCUCCAACCCGGCUGCGUGUUUGGAUGUGUGUUGGGAGCGCGGCUAACGCUUUUGUUGUCUAACCAUUAAUUAUGGCAGUUGGCACUGCCAAACACCGAUCAAAAUUCCCAUGAGGACGCGAUACAGUCGAGCAUCGCUAACUUCG